ACAACAGCAAUUUGUUCCCACUUAAAGCCAAGGCAAACAGUCAGUGAAUUUCAAGAGCUUCUGAACAUGUGAAUGCUAGUUUUGCCUUCUUAAAAUGCUGCUUCCAGGAAUAGCAUAGUGAAAUGAUGUCUCCACUGUAAUCAUUGAUCUCAAAUAUUUUCCAGUCUCAAGGACUCUCACUAAUUAACUUGUUAACAGGCAUUUCUGUUACACCUGAGGAAUCACCCACCUGGUGUCUUCAAAUGAAAUCCGAUCUCAUACUAAAGGCCAUUGCCUAGAAGCUGUGAAAACGCUAUUCUAGCAACCUUAUGCUGUUUCUUUGAGAAAAUUGGGAUGCUAUAGAGGUGAAACCAGCUAUAGGUGGAUGGUAAAAAGAGUGAAACCAGUUUGAAGAAAAACCCCAAAACUUCUAGUCUAUAUAGUAAAAAUAGAUAAAUCUGCCUUUGAGUAAGAUUAUCUAACUUGUCCCAUAUGUCACUCACAAAAACAAUGACAUUGUAUUAAUCUGGCAUAAUAAUUACUGUUUUAUAAAGACAAACAGAUUGAUAGCAAAAUGCAAAAAAUGUGUUAUGCUAAUACUCUGAAUAUGCUUUCAAAAUAAUUCUAAUGUAGUAUUAAUUUCCAUAUUCCUGCCAAAUACACAAGAUGGUAUUUAAAUAAUAAUUUCUGGCAGAGUUUGAAAGUUAUUUUGAAUAUAAAAAAUGCUGUCUAAUUUUGCUUAGCCCCCUGAACAUUUUUAUUUGAGUUAUAAUCAAACUUUACUUACAAAAAAUACUUCCACUCUAUACAACACUGGUAAAAACCUCACAUAAACUGUGUGUCCAGUUUUGGAUACCACACUUCAACAAAUGCAUGGAUCAAUGGGACAGACAGCAGCAAAGAUUAUCUGGAAAACUGCCUGUUAGGAAAAAAUUUUAAAAACUGGGUAUGUUUGUCCACAGAAGAAGAGAGUAAGGGAGACACAUUGACAGGUGAGUACUACUAGGAGAUGGUUAUAUACUGUUUUUCAUAUCACUGAAGAUAGGCAAAUAGUAAUGGAUUUAAAUUAAAAAGAGAGAUGAUUUAGGUUAAACAUUAAAACUCUCUA